ensembl:lncRNA
CUUUUUCAAUAAAUAAAAAGACUGGUGUUAGUGAGCUUGUAUUUUUAUUUUUUUAUUUCACUGUGACUGUUUCACAGACUGUUGUUAAUUUGUUGGAAGAAUUUAUGUAAAUGCUUUCAAAUUCUAAAAUUUAUAUUCAUUGUUUAAGCAUCAAAUAUAGUAUUUUGCAAUUAAAAUGAUCUAACAAGCGUAGUAGAUGGGUCAGUGAUUUUAUUUGACCUUUCACAACAAAGAUUAUUGCAGAAAUUGUUUUAGAUACUUUUCAAGUCCUAAAUAUUAAGUUUCCUUGAUGUUACUUUUAAUAUUAAAUGUGAUUUUCUUUCUUUUGCUUUCUAAAAACAUCUAUUAUUAUAUUUCCUUUAAAUUAUGGCAUAGAAAUAUUUCUAAAGAAAAUCUUGUGAGCUGUUUAUUCAUGACAAUUCCUUCACAAAAUACACUUUAUAAAAGAAGAUGUUUAAGAAUAAUCAUGGUGAUUUAAAAUGUGUGUGUUUGUAUCUGUGAUAUUGGUUAAGUCUUUUUUAUGUUUAACGUUCCUUCCAAACAGGGCAAACCAACAAAUGUUGCCCAACAUUAAGCAUAAUAACAAAAAGCUACCUCAAAAACAAUUAAAAUUCACGUUUCUUCUUUAGUAGCUUUUUUAUUAGUUUAUUUUGCUAUUUAUUCAGUCAUUGCAACAAUUUGUGUUUUUGCAAUUACUGAUUUUUCUCUGUGUCCAGUGUCUGCAGCCCUGACUUAUGAAAAUCUGGCUCUAGUUUUCUAAUUUGCAGAAUUUAUUAUUUCUACAACAAUAGCAUAAAAUAUUUAUUUUGGUUUCAUAAUUCUUGAUUAAAAGUAGCCAUGAACAAUUAUUUAUCAAAUCAUACAACAAAUUAAAAUGAUCUGUAAGUCACAGGAAUUAUUUGGCUCAGGUAUGUGAAACUAAUGAUAAAUCAUGUAAAGUUCAGAACAAGUUUAUAAUUAACACAAGUAAAUAAAACCAUUAUUGUCUCAACACAAUGUUUCCUCAUCUAAUGUGAUGCUGUACACAUUGUUACCAGUGUUGAGUCCUUUAACAUCAGUGUUGUGUUAAUAAUGUCAUUGAAGUACCAAAAUUAUAUUUAUUUACCUAAAAGCAAAGUUUUAAGUCACAUGAGUGAUUGUAAAGUCUUUUUUGUUCUCUUCCAUGCUGGUGCCGUGGACCCGGGCUGUCUUCUGCCCAGCAUUAUUGUGACAGCCAGGAUGUCAGUUCAGGACCUUUGGAGAAGUCGGGGUCAUGGUAAACCGGCACUCCUGGCUAUGCGCAAGACCUGUGACUUCUUUUCUCAGCUUGAUCCUACUGGGAGAAGGCAGGAGAUGCAUAUGUAAUCCUGAUGUGUGCGUAUGUGUGAAAAAGAAAGAGUGAGGGAGUACUUUUUUUUUCUUGGACCUUAUUUAUUAAAUGCUGAUUUUACUAUGUAAAGGAGCAAAGUGCAUAUAGCUGAAGCUCUUUUUCUUUUUUAAUAUGUAUUAACAGAAUGUUAUGUAUUAUGUAUGUAUAAUGUAUUAACAGCUGGAGCAAGGGCUACAUAUGAUUCAAGCUGGGUUAUAAACAAUAAUAACUAAUUUAUGAUAUGUAUGUAUCAACAGCCUCUUUUAUCAUGCUUACAUCAUGUGGAACCAGGAUAAAGGAAGACUUUAUUUUGUGAAGAAGUGAAUAUUAUAAUCACAAUAUACAUUCAGUGUAUGAUGAAUUAUGUUGAAUUAAUAUAAAAUAAUAUAAUAUAUACAAAUUUUAUACAAUAUAUCAGUUGUGACUAUGAUAAUAAAGUAAAAACAAACAGUGCUUCUGUGAAUGCAAAAAUGUUUAUUGUUAGUUCGGUAUGAACAAAUUACCAUCAUAUCUUACUUUAUUGAAGAAAAAAUGGAAACAAUGCACUGAAAUAUUGCUCAUGCAUUAUUUUCAAUUUAUAGAGAGAGAGAGAGAGAGAGAGGAAACAUAAAUAUAUUCUACUAUUAAUUAUGGGUACAGCAGAUAAUUUCAAUUUAAUGUUUUUGUAUUAGGUUUAUUUAUUUUUAUUUAGCCUAUUUUUUAUUUAAUCAAUAAAUAUACCAUAUUUAAUCGCAAGCUUUAAAUAGAUAUUUAAAAAGGCUAAGAAAAGAAGUUAACAUUCAAUUUUUGUUGCAUAGGAAUAAAAACAUAAUUGGACUGCAAUUAAUAAACAUUGUAAAAUGUAAAAUGCAUUAAAAAUACAAUUCAUGGUAUUAAAUGAAGAUUUUAUGUCGAUGGGGGUCAAUGUUUAUUUAAUAUGGAUUUUUUUUUUUUAAAUACGAAUAUUGAAUGACGUGAACAAGAGUUGAAUUCUAGCAUUUAUUCAGACAUGUUAUUUUGACUCCAGCUGACAUGCAAAUAUUGUGCUAAUACGAGAUGUUUUAUUUACCUCAGGUUUGUUUAUAUCAGCUUUGUUUACCUGUUCUGCUUUUAAUGACACUAAAGAAAAACCAUUAGGUCAGUACUGGACUUUAGGAGUCAUCUCUUAAACCAACAAAUCUUAAUGCGUUCAUACAUAGUAGCCUAUAGUUGUCAGUUGUAAGAAUUUUAAUUGUGACAUUUACUAUCCUCAGUAAGACUUUGAGAAGCGGAUGGAACACAGACAAACAAGGGUCAGUCAAUUACCAUUUUUUUGUCAUAAGGUAUACAAAAUACCACAAUGCCUUAAAAAUAUUUUAUUGUUAUAAUUAAAGAUGAUUUAUUAAACCAUA